rnacentral:lncRNA from 1 species
ACCGGCCAAGAUUUGCAUGGACUCGAGAAAAGCAUGUGCCUCCAGCAGCCUAUGGCCGUGUGCAUUGUCAUGAGAGUCUCUGCUUCUCCAUUCUCAGGAAAAGGCAAAGGUGUGUUUUGUGAGAAACUCCCUAGUUUGGAUAGACAGAUUGCUGAGAUGUGUUUCGAUGAAGCUAACAGAUGUGGGAAACCAUUAGUCUGUGGAUUCUACAAGCGUUUUGAUCCAGCUUUACAAUUCUUGUACCAGAAAGUCGGUGAGAGCCGCGCGCUAGGGAGGAUACAUCGGAUAGCAGUCGUUAGCAGCAUCUAUCCACCAGCUUCUCCCAGUUUGCUAAGGAAGUCAGGUGGGAUCUUUUAUAACGCUGCUGUGCAUGACGUGGACAUCGUCAGUCUCUUGUUGGGAGAGAGUGUUCCAGACACAGUCUUUUCUUUGGGUCAUGCGUUCUGCUCAGAUGUGGCCUCUUUGAAAGAUGCAGACAGUGUCAUGGUCAGCAUGAAGUUUCCUAGUGGGGCCAUUGUUAGUUUGGAUAUCAGUCAACACUGCACCAAAAGCUGUGACCUGAGAGUGGAGGCUCAGAACCUAGAAAAAGUUUGCUUUCCUAUGAGAUUAUUAUUGUCAGUAUUGCAAAGAUCUCUAAGACUGGCGGACUUCUUAGGGGUAAAAUUGUUUUUUAAAUGUAAUGUUUGCUCUAUCGCUGUUACAAGCAGUUGGUGGCUUAGAAGUGGGUUGUGUUCCCAGAAUGCAUUUGAAUCAGGCUGUACUAGGUGAACUUCUCUCUUCCCAUCUAGCUCCAGAGUUCAACUCCUACUGUCCCAGGCCAUUUGGAAUUGGGAGUGUUUUCCUCAUAGAAAUCACUUGCAUUCUCUGUGCUAGCCAAGUCCCCUUAGCCCCUAGUGUCCCUACGAUCACCGUCGAGCUUUGAGAGGGAGGGAGGAAGGGCCUAGGCCCCCAGAGGCUCAGAUUCUUGAAGGGUUGGGCCACACCAGUAAGAAGAGAGCAUCAGACCAGCAGGGGAUCAGGCUAGAGGAGAGAAGCGGAAUGACAUUGUGGAUUAAGAGCUGGCCUUGGACUCCAGUCCUGCCUCUGACCUAUGACUCGUGCUGGUUGGGUAACUUUGGGCAAUGUGCCGAACCUAGGUGUUCUCUACAUCAGUGGAGAAAGAGAGAGAGAGAGAGAGACAGACAGAGACAGAGACAGAAGGAGGAGGAGGAAGAGAAGAGAGAGAGAAG